AACUUUGUGGCACAUUCGAGAAAGAACACAAACACUUAAAGCCAAGAUUCGCAUUUUGCCACAUGCCAUUAUGAUAGAUAUUUUUUUUGUACUAGUCUCAACGAAGACCAUAGAUCAAAACAUACAGUAUUUAUGAAAAAAGAAAUUAGUUAUACGAAAAAAAAAAAGUGAUUGAUGUGAAAUGUAAUGAAGACGAAAAGAAAAAAAGAAAGAAAGAAACGACGAAUUUGGACGUAAUAUUAGUUUUUGACAAGAGACCCGC
rnacentral:lncRNA from 1 species